rnacentral:rRNA from 1 species
CGCGUAGGCGGGUCAGCAAGUCCGGGGUGAAAUCUUUCGGCUCAACCGGAAAAGUGCCUUGGAUACUGCUGGUCUGGAGGGAGGUAGGGGCAGCUGGAACCUCCGGUGGAGCGGUGAAAUGCGUUGAUAUCGGAAGGAACUCCGGUGGCGAAGGCGAGCUGCUGGACCUCUUCUGACGCUGAGGCGCGAAAGCUAGGGGAGCAAACG